AUGAUUUGUUUCUUACAAACACACAGCUUUUCACUGCACAAGACAUUAAUUGAAGGUGUGGAUUAUUGUGAUGUUUUUUGGACUCUCAUUCUGACGGCACCCAUUCACUGCAGAGCAUUCUUUGCUAAGCAAGUGAUGUACAUUUAUCCAAAUCUGGUGAAAAAGCAAACUCAUCUAAAUUUUUUUUUUUUUUUUUUUGGUGAACAUUUCCUCUAAAAUGAAUCAGCUGUUAUUAAAAUGCAAAGUGAAAACUGUAGAGCAUUAUUUAACUUGAAGUUAACCUUUAAAAACAUGAACUGUAGGGUUCAUUAAAUGCUAAUUUGUGAUAUGCGGGAAUCAGCUGCAGCCUGAGUGGAAAGACAUGACUUGAUCAUCAACAAAAAAUGACUGGCAUUUAUAUUUCCCAACAAAAACCUAAUGAUCCUUAUCGGAACUUCUUCUUUUUUUGCCUCCCCAGAACUUUAGUUAUCAUCAUAUGCUCUAUACAGUACAAUCCAUUAGGAAAACUAUUAUCUAACAUCACAAUCAGCACUUAGCUAAUUGAAUCUUUCACUUUUCUACAGACACAGGCUAUACGAAUACCAACUGUUUGUAAUUGGAUAAAUGCAAAAACGGCAGCAAAUGCUGUUUCUAAUGGCAAAACCUAGAUGUCUGCAAAUAUGGCCAGAAGCUGACACUGCCUGCUUGUGCUGAACCGUACUGGGUAAGUUUUGCUUCAUUGCCUCCUCUUAUGAUUUGAUAACUUUUUUGGGUGGCUAUAAUGCUGGCUUUGCACUUAAUGAGAGAACUGUGACCCUCUAUGGAACUGGACAAUUGGGUAAAAGAACUGCUGCAACAAGCAUUUAUGCAAGGCCACAAUUUAAGUAACAGUUGAUUCUUGCAUUUAGGGAGAAGAAAUCAGCAAAUUAGUUGAGAAUUUUGGUGUUAAUUGAAUCAAAAGAAAUUUACGGUAGAUGAGCAAUCAGUGUUGUAUUGAGUGUUGUAUCAACAAAUGCAAUCUUCAUAUGAAAACGUGGGGUAUAUACGGUGCAUAUAUAAUGGUGUCUUAAAUUCUGAGACCUCUAGAUAAUAUAUUAGAAUAUAGUGAAAAUAUUAGCCUGACAGUCAGAGUGGAAAGCUGAACUGAAACUAUUUAUAUAGUAUUUAUGCACUAUCAUAGUUUUUUUUUUUUUAAAGAAAUUCAUAUUUUUAUUCAGAAGGAUGCAUUAAAUUGAUUGCAAGCGACAGUACAGAUUUCAACUUCACUGUUUUCAACUGUAAUAUUAAGAUAUAUUUCAUGACCAACAAAGCAGCUUAAUAAAAGAUUUCUA
ensembl:lncRNA